UGGGGAAUUUUGGACAAUGGGCGAAAGCCUGAUCCAGCAAUGCCGCGUGUGUGAAGAAGGCCUUCGGGUUGUAAAGCACUUUUGUCCGGAAAGAAAUCCUUGGCUCUAAUACAGUCGGGGGAUGACGGUACCGGAAGAAUAAGCACCGGCUAACUACGUGCCAGCAGCCGCGGUAAUACGUAGGGUGCAAGCGUUAAUCGGAAUUACUGGGCGUAAAGCGUGCGCAGGCGGUUUGCUAAGACCGAUGUGAAAUCCCCGGGCUCAACCUGGGAACUGCAUUGGUGACUGGCAGGCUAGAGUAUGGCAGAGGGGGGUAGAAUUCCACGUGUAGCAGUGAAAUGCGUAGAGAUGUGGAGGAAUACCGAUGGCGAAGGCAGCCCCCUGGGCCAAUACUGACGCUCAUGCACGAAAGCGUGGGGAGCAAACAGGAUUAGAUACCCUGGUAGUCCACGCCCUAGACGAUGUCAACUAGUUGUUGGGGAUUCAUUUUCCUUAGUAACGUAGCUAACGCGUGAAGUUGACCGCCUGGGGAGUACGGUCGCAAGAUUAAAACUUAAAUGAAUUGACGGGGUC
rnacentral:rRNA from 1 species